AUUGAACGCUGGCGGCAUGCCUUACACAUGCAAGUCGAACGGCAGCAUGGGUGCUUGCACCUGAUGGCGAGUGGCGAACGGGUGAGUAAAGCAUCGGAACGUACCCGGAAGUGGGGGAUAACGUAGCGAAAGUUACGCUAAUACCGCAUAUUCUGUGAGCAGGAAAGCAGGGGCUCGUAAGACCUUGCGCUUUCGGAGCGGCCGAUGUCGGAUUAGCUAGUUGGUGAGGUAAAGGCUCACCAAGGCGACGAUCCGUAGCGGGUCUGAGAGGAUGAUCCGCCACACUGAGACUGAGACACGGCCCAGACUCCUACGGGAGGCAGCAGUGGGGAAUUUUGGACAAUGGGCGGAAGCCUGAUCCAGCCAUGCCGCGUGAGUGAAGAAGGCCUUCGGGUUGUAAAGCUCUUUUGUCAGGGAAGAAAUAGCUUGGGUUAAUACCCUGGGCGGAUGACGGUACCUGAAGAAUAAGCACCGGCUAACUACGUGCCAGCCGCCGCGGUAACAC
rnacentral:rRNA from 1 species